rnacentral:rRNA from 1 species
GACGAACGCUGGCGGCGUGCUUAACACAUGCAAGUCGAACGGAGUUCCUCGGAUCAAGACUUCGGUCAAGUGAACUGGAACUUAGUGGCGGACUGGUGAGUAACGCGUGAGGAACCUGCCUUUCAGAGGGGGACAACAGUUGGAAACGACUGCUAAUACCGCAUGACGCAUUCGGGUCGCAUGGCCUGAAUGCCAAAGAUUUUAUCGCUGAAAGAUGGCCUCGCGUCUGAUUAGCUAGUUGGUGAGGUAACGGCCCACCAAGGCGACGAUCAGUAGCCGGACUGAGAGGUUGACCGGCCACAUUGGGACUGAGAUACGGCCCAG